GGGGUUAGCAUAACAAAUGAAAGGCGUGAGUGAUUGAGUGGAAGCACACAACAGAUGCUGGUCUCUCCUUGAGUAGCUUGAUGACAAUAAAAUAUAUUGAUGGCCUUUUCUGUCAACAAAUACGACAGAUUUGAACCACAGUUGUCAUCCUUUUUACUUUUUAGGACCUGUUGUUGGGCACAGUCAGCUGCCCUCUUGUUCAUGCCCCUUUCAGGGUCACUGCGACUGCCCUUUAGCAGAAUCUGUCAGGCCCUCGUUGACGCAGAUCCGUUUCCUGUCAAAGUGAGAUUUUUAUUGUUUCAAGGGAGCGGGCUCCUGAAUCUCUCUCCUCCAGCCUUUUCCUGUUUCCUCACGAAGGGGAAGCGCCGCUUUGCUUCGUUUUUUUUCCUCCUCCCGCAUCUUCUCUGGGACAAAUCUGGAACAUGGACUGCAAAACUUUGGUUGUGUGGGCCAAGUCUUGAUUUCAAAGAAUGAAAAGAGUUAAAACACUCCCACGAUGGGCUCUCUUACACAAGCUUAAAACACACACACAAACAGGUUCUCACUGAUUUUGCAUCCUAUACUCUAAUGCUUGUUGGUGUGUGCUCACCUGCGACCCCAGAGAAAAGUGUUCCCAUGGUGCCCCAGCACGUAGUCUCUUUGUUAUCGCGGAGAAAAUACUUCUUUGUGUGCAGGGAGGGUCAGAUUAUUCAUAUAGACAGUGUUGGCCCCCAAAUGAAGAAUGACAUGACAACAAACAUGAUAUCCACUUCAGCAGUUUCGUUUUCUAUGAACCCUGAGCGUGUAAAAACAGGAAACGUCUAAAGCACAUCAUAUAGAAAUCCACAACAGCUUUCUUACUUUGCAUUUAGGGGCUUGUGUACAUAAUAAGCCUCUAAAUUGUUUCUGUGAUUUUUUUCUGUUUUUUUAUAGUGUAAAUUUAUGGCACAGACUACGGUGAAAUACUGUAGAAAGUACAAAUAGUUAAAUGAGAGCUAUGUGGUUGUUUUCACUCAGUAUUACGUUUGUGAAAUUACAUAUUAUUGAAAACUUCUGACGCUUUUCUGGCUGAGUUGCAUAUGAGAAAGUAAAAUUUUUACAUUUAUUUUACAUGUUUUAUUUUUUUCAUUUUAAUUUUACAUUUUAAAUUUCCUGUUCUGAAAAUGUUCAUGCCAGCAAUCUAGUCAAAGCUCCUGUGCUAAGGCGGUAAACAUCUAUGAAAACAGCUGAAAUUUCAGUUGAUGCCUUUUAAUGACAUACAAAAACAAACAAACAAACAAAAAAACGACAGCAACAAGACUGAAGAUUUUUAAAACCUCAUUUGUAGAGCCUAUAUCUGGUGCAAGGGGGUAGGUCCAGACCGAGUAGCUGAAGAAAUUGCACUGUUUUUGUGCAAUUUCCACAUAAAAUAAUAAUAAAUCAUAAAUAUGACUGUUAAAACCACAGCAUGAGAUUUUGUAAAAAUAAAAUAUCACUUCUUAAGCAUGUGGAGGAAACAAACCUUUGUUUUUGUGAUUACUGACAGGAAAAUGAGGAGGAAAACUGUGCAGAAACAGUGGCACAAGGAGCUGAGCGCAAGAGACAUCAUGCAAAUUGAAGAAAACAGCGCAAGAACAAAACAAAACAGUAAGGGCUUUGGCAAUGUAAAAGACUGAGUGAGUGAAAAGAAAACAUUAGUGGCAGAGUAUUUCAAUCAGGUGCUGCAGUUAUUGUAAGUAUCAGCUGAAAAAUGCAAAAAUGAAAGUGCUCAUGUUUAUCAUAAUAAGACUGACAAGAAUACACUGCCAGUAAAGCGCUAUUAACGUGAAAGUUUGAGGGAUAUCUUUGGCUGUCUUUAUACAUAAUUUAAAAUAAAUAAUGAACUUAGUAAGGUGACACCUCCACUUUCACCCGUUCACUUUGAUAUAUGAUACUGUACCUCACCUAACAGAGAUGCACCAUUUUAAAGUAACGAAACUUCAGUUUUCACCUUUGACUUUGACGACUCGGGGAUGACUGGAUGCAUGACUCCCACUGUCAUUUGUGGUAGUGCAUGCGUAGCAAGAUUUCAUACCAUUUAAGUAUUUUUUUAACUACCAAGAGGCCAAACUUACUUUGUUAUUUGACUGUACACAGUAUUGCAGUCUAUGCUCUGUUUUAUAUAAGUGUUAUUUUGAUUUGUGCUCCAGAAGUCCAGCCACAAAAACCUCAAACACACCCAAACAUGUUUUUUUUCCCCCGUCUGUGUGUUUCACUGGCACAUUCAGCUGUGCAUGUGGUUGGAGAAAGAGUUCUGGUUGUCAGAUUGAUCUGUUAAGCUGAGCUCCGAGGCAGGGGAGGAGCAGCCUGUCUGACACACUUGAACACGAUGUGAGCUACAGUAACCGAAUGCUUUUCAGGCUCACACGGAGACUACAACUGAACUCCAGAUUGACCCUGUGCAACCAGACCUCUAAAAGACCCCUUAUGGCAAGAGCAGCAGAAGUAAAACACAUCUGCAGUUUCAUAAUCGAGGCACUGUCAUGUUUUUGGAAAGUGACUUACAAAAAGGGUUUCCUGUGCAGGAUUUUUUUUGCUUUUGUUACAACCAGAGCAACUACAAUGUUGAAAUCUUGUGAAGUUUAGCUUGGGUCGGGGCACUUUGAGGGGGAAACUGCAUUCAAAAUUUGAGGUUUUGUGAGUCAGGAAAAAAAUUCUCCAUCCAAAGACCCGUUUAGUGGCUUUUCUGCACUGUCAGAAAUCACAACGAUUAAAUAUAAUGGUUUUGCAGACUAAGUUUUACUUCUAAAUCUGUGUUAUUAUGUAUCUGCAGAGUCAUCCUGACGAAGUUCAAUUGAAUUAAUGUGUUAACCACAAUUAUUGCUGCAAAAUAUGCACCAAAGUCAAACAACAUUAUUGCAGAGCUAUCAUUCCUACCAAAGAGAAACACAAGUAAAAGGAGGGAGCAGAAACCUCUUCCUUAUCAUGCAACACUUUAGCUUAACAAGCUGCAAUUUGACAGAUUUAAUCUCACAGUAAACAUGAGCCUAUACGAGCUCUCAUUGUGCUAUAGGCUAAAUUACUUAACUGCCUCUAAGUGUUGUUAUAUUAAACUCGAUGUAAGGUUCAGUAAACGCAACAAUCUCAAAGUACUGAUGAUUCCUGCGUUUUCUUCUGGACUGCAAAGGCAGCAGAAGGCCGUAAGGUGAGGUGAAAAAGUUGAAGCCACUUGCCCUAUUUCAAGAUGUCUGCACUCUUCGACACAAUGAGGAGGGGGACAGAAAAAUGCUUCAAAAUCAGAUUCGUGAAGCGGUUUGAGCAGGAUGGAGAGUGUUUGUGCAGUGGAGGGGUUUUAUCAGCGCCAAACACUCACAGGAAGUCCGGUUUGGGAUUGUCCGUCCAAUUCCUGCGUUCCUCAGGAAGCCCAGCAUAAAAAGCAACUGAAAAACGC